GAAUUUGGACAAUGGGGGAAACCUGAUCCAGCCAUCCGCGUGUGCGAUGAAGGCCUUCGGGUUGUAAAGCACUUUUGUCAGGGAAGAAAAGGUUUCGGAUAAUACCCGGAACUGAUGACGGUACCUGAAGAAUAAGCACCGGCUAACUACGUGCCAGCAGCCGCGGUAAUACGUAGGGUGCAAGCGUUAAUCGGAAUUACUGGGCGUAAAGCGUGCGCAGGCGGUUCGGAAAGAAAGAUGUGAAAUCCCAGGGCUCAACCUUGGAACUGCAUUUUUAACUACCGGACUAGAGUAUGUCAGAGGGGGGUGGAAUUCCGCGUGUAGCAGUGAAAUGCGUAGAUAUGUGGAGGAACACCGAUGGCGAAGGCAGCCCCCUGGGAUAAUACUGACGCUCAUGCACGAAAGCGUGGGGAGCAAACAGGAUUAGAUACCCUGGUAGUCCACGCCCUAAACGAUGUCAACUAGCUGUUGGGCCCUUCGGGGCUUAGUAGCGCAGCUAACGCGUGAAGUUGACCGCCUGGGGAGUACGGUCGCAAGAUUAAAACUCAAAGGAAUUGACGGGGACCCGCACAAGCGGUGGAUGAUGUGGAUUAAUUCGAUGCAACGCGAAAAACCUUACCUACCCUUGACAUGUCUGGAAUCCUGAAGAGAUUUAGGAGUGCUCGCAAGAGAACCGGAACACAGGUGCUGCAUGGCUGUCGUCAGCUCGUGUCGUGAGAUGUUGGGUUAAGUCCCGCAACGAGCGCAACCCUUGUCAUUAGUUGCUACAUUUAGUUGAGCACUCUAAUGAGACUGCCGGUGACAAACCGGAGGAAGGUGGGGAUGACGUCAAGUCCUCAUGGCCCUUAUGGGUAGGGCUUCACACGUCAUACAAUGGUCGGGACAGAGGGUUGCCAAGCCGCAAGGUGGAGCCAAUCUCACAAACCCGAUCGUAGUCCGGAUUGCAGGCUGCAACUCGCCUGCAUGAAGUCGGAAUCGCUAGUAAUCGCGGAUCAGCAG
rnacentral:rRNA from 1 species